rnacentral:tRNA from 1 species
GGAGGGAUGCCGGAGCGGACGAACGGGGCGGUCUUGAAAACCGCUGAGGCUCGCGAGGGUCUCCGUGGGUUCGAAUCCCACUCCCUCCG